UCAAACUUGGUCAUUUAGAGGAAGUAAAAGUCGUAACAAGGUUUCCGUAGGUGAACCUGCGGAAGGAUCAUUACUGAGUGAGGGUCUUCGGGCCCGACCUCCCAACCCGGUGUCUAUCAACCUCAGUUGCUUCGGUGGGCCGGACGCGACCAACUGGUCGUGACCCCCCAGUCUUCGGGCUGGAGCGUGUCCGCCGAUGGCCUCCACAAACUCUUGGUACCCAACCUGGUCGUCUGAAUUAGAUUUUCAAUCAAAAACAAAACUUUCAACAACGGAUCUCUUGGUUCUGGCAUCGAUGAAGAACGCAGC
rnacentral:misc_RNA from 1 species